rnacentral:lncRNA from 1 species
AGAAAGGAAAUAUUUUAUGUUUAAUUUUGAACAGAGGUAUAAGCACAAUGAACUGUUACAUUUGCAUGAAGCCUUCAUAUAUUCAGCAGUGGUAAAGAUGUAUUGCUUAGCAUACCAAAUCUCUGAAACACCAACAUUUUCUCUGUGUGUGUGGCAACUUAUUUACCAAGCUGCUGCCUCAGCAACACAAACAAAGCAGCAGUUCCUUCUGUUCUGUUUGCAUACAGCUGUUGCAUGAAAUGGCUUUUAUUAAAAAAUGCUAAAUUGCAUACGUUGUGUUGAUGCCCAGCAUCAACAGGCAGGUCUUUGUGGGUUCACCGUAGCUAUCAGUCUAUCACUCAAGCUCAACAGCUACUGACAAGAACUAGCACUUCGUUCUCCAUACAAGGCUGCCUAGAUGACAACCAACUAUGAAGACUAAAUAUGCAGCAAAUAAACAUCAGUAAACAAAAAUAGCUCAAAAACAUUUGAUUGGCGGCUCAUUUCUUGCUAUUACAAACAACACUUAAAUGUUAAUGAAGUGCAUUUUAUAUAUAAGCAGUUUUGUUCUGUAACCACACUUCGCUGACUUGCAAAGCAUAGGAGUUCCAAAAGCUUAAUCCCAGAAAGGCCAAACACCAUUCUACACUAAAGAAAAUUAGCAUGUGUUCAUUAGUAUUUCUGGCCAUGAAGAGUACAUUCGUAUAAAGCAGUAUUUCAGUUAAAAAUUAGAAUAAUUCCUUGCAAAUAAUUUGAUGGCUAUGCACAACUAAGACCUUGCUCCACCGUAUCAAAAAUGCAACUACAGGCUUUGCAGUAAGUUUCCCUCACGUAAAUCAGAAAAUUGAGGUAUCAAUCUCGGCAUAUUAACAAUGAUAUGUUGGGCUUUGUGGGGUUAAGCAAAGGUUUCUUUCUUUUUUUGCUCAAGCCAGCAUCAAUAUUAUUAAUGCACA